AACCCUCCCGAAGCCUUGGAUAGUGAUGGACCCACAGUCAGAAGUGAUGACCUUGACGUUGAAGCGCCACACGGUUCUGUAUUCGGAAUCUCCGAAAGGUCUGAAAGUUACGAGAGCCCCAGAAAUGCUGAAAGUGCCGAAAUCCUGCAAUGGGACGGUCAAACAAAUAACUGGAAACAUCUGAGAAGGAGUGAAGGGGUUAGACCUAGACAAGGAAGUUACCACUCGCAACACAGCUUUCAUUCUGAAUUGUCCUACCUAGAAAACCCAAAUUAUUAUUCCUCUACGGACAUACUGGAUGAAGAAAUGUAGGAGAAAAUGGUGCCUGGUUUUCAAGACAGUGUCCGUUGCGGAACCUUUCUUUGUGUUCCUCGAAAAUUAAAAAGGUGCACGAUGCCGUCU